UUUCUCGCGCGUGGUUUAUGUAUUCUUAUUAUUUACAUUAAAUCAAGCGAACCACCUUUGCCACAUAAUAGAAUAAUCUUUUGCUUAAAUGAGGAAAAAUAACACGGUAUAUUAUUUACUUAUAUGAAGAAAAGAGAAAGAAAAAGCCAAAAAUACAGAGCUCUCAAUCCUCAUCAAAGUCACCCUCUUUGCAAUACUUCUUGCACAGUUUUCUUGCUCUUAAUAGAAACUUGUGAGAAAAUAGUGCUCAUUGAACCUAUCUCAAUUACAAAAGUAGUUGAGGAAUUGAGGCAGAGACUUCAUAGGAGUAAACCAUGACACUAACCACUCAACCUGAAACGCAGUUGUCACCACUACUAACAAUAGAAGUCUAGAAGAAAUAGAAUAGAUGAGGACCCCUCCCACCAAUGGAGGUAGCUAACAUAUAUGAUUGUGUCUUGUGGUGGUGAAAAACAGCUUUGCCCUAUUAAAUAGUGUCUGGUGCGCCAUUAGUUUUCUGCACAUGUUCCGGUCCAAGCAAUUGGGUUGUUGGGUUUUGUGUGUAGAUACUUCGAGUUGGUCCUUAUUACUACUAAACACCUUUCAAUAACAAUCUCUUGAAUUGCUCAUGUACUGUUUUUUGACCAUUAUAUACAUAUAUGAAUGUAUAUAUAUUUAGUCAUUAUUAAUGUUUGGAAAAAUACUAAUUUAGCCCGUGUUUUCUCUGAUUAUGCGAUUAUAGAAUGUAUUUUUGUUAAACAAUAAUUUAGACUCCGUAUUUUGUAAAAUAGAUCAAUGUAGUAUUUGGAUCCGAUUUUGGUCAAAAUAAUUUUAUAUAUAAGAUCAUUUAUUAGGCCACCAACAAUGUGAUGAGUCCAUAGAUGCGAAGAAAGUAGUUGGGGAGCAGAGAAUGAAAGAGUAUAUUUAAAAUUACUUAUGAAAUCACCCUUGAAUUA